rnacentral:lncRNA from 1 species
GUUCCCCGGCUCUCGGGGGAGGCCGGGCCCGGGCCCCAAGCGGGAAACAGCGGCCCCCUCGGCCUAAAAAACAGGGCCCACUGAAGCCCCUCAUGGGGCGGAGCGAACCCAAAGGGGCGCUGCCGCUCCUGCCGGGCCUGCCUGUACCGGUGGCGCCCUCAGGCGGGGCCAGGGCCGGGCCUCCAAGAAGGCGGCAGCCGCGCCGGCAGGAAGGGCCCCUGGGUCAACUGGCGAGGAGGGAGCCGGAGGGGGCGCUGCCCGCCCUCGACCUGCCCCCUCCCGCCCCGGAGGCCCCUCCUCGCCAGGAUCCCGACAACAUCUGGGUCCCCCAGGGGCGCCUCCUGCCUGACAUCCGGCUGCCCUUCCCCGCGCCUCCCCCGCCCUGGGCGCCGCUCAACAUGCUCGCCAGGAGAUACGGGUGAAUGGAUCAUAGAAUCCCGAAAACAUCGAAAGCCCCGCUUUUAUUUUCAUAGGGCUGAUGGCCUUGGAGGAAGGAGAUGCUGAUAACUUAAAACGCCGUGUAGUGGAACUACUGCUUCAGAACCCCCAAGGCAUCAGGUUUGAGAAUUUUUCUGGGGCCUUCCAUCAGCUGCAUGGUUACUACCCUCGUAUCGCUCUUCAGGGAUAUCAUACGCUCAAGGAAUUAGUGGCUGAUAUGAAGAAUGCUGUGGUUGUGGAAAGGCGUUCACGGCAACAAGUUUUGAAGAUUGCAAAGGGCUUCCGUCUUGACUGUUGGUUGGAAGGAGAAAAAGGGAAUGGAUUGGAAACAUCAGAAAGAGAAGUGGAGAACCUGCGAGAUGAAGACCAAGUUGGAGGAGAAACAACUCUUGCAGACAUCUUGGAUUUGCUCAUCAGCCUCCUAACGGAGUACAAAUCGGGACUGAGAAUUAGCUAUAUCCAGAAAUUCAUGCUAUCCAAGCAUGCAGUGGACAUGGAAAAGUUCAGCAUUGCCCAAGGCUACAAGAACAUCAUGGAAUUCUUGGGACAUGAACUGCCAGAGCUAAUAGUCAGAUAUCAAGAGAAAACCUGUGAAUAUGUUGUACAGAUUCCUGAAGGUCUCUUUGCCUCAGAUCUGUCUGUGGAGUCAGAUUUCUCUACAUGGAGCUCACCAUCCUCGACCCAGGAUCUAACAAGAACAAACUCUGCUAGCUCUUUGUAUUACACAUGCAAAAGUGACCCAAACCAUGUGAAGCAACCUACAAAAUAUGUCCCAGAUCUGCCGGCUGCUUCAAAGCUAAUUCGGGAUGUGCUCAAGAGUUUUCCUUGUGGUAUCAAAGUAUGUUCGCUAAAAAGGGUCCUCAGAAAGAGAUGCGGAUUUGACUUGGAGGCAUUCCGCACACAGCACGGAUACCAAGAUGUGUUGUCCUGCUUGAAGGAUAUCCCUGACCUGUUUCUGCUAAACACGAAUAGGCAUCGGAAUUGUCUCGUCCGCCUUCAGCCAUGUCCCUUUGGUUCAGAUCUGUCUCUGGACUCAGAUUUCUCUGGAUAUAGCUCUCACUCCGAACCCGACGGUCUAACAAGAACGAAUUCCGCUGUCUCUCUACCUUCUACCAGUGUGAGUGUGCCGAACCAUGCGAAGGAACCAACAAACCAGGCCCUAGCAUUACCAGAAGUUUUGUCUUUAGUCAGUGACCUACUCACCAAGUACAAAGACGGUCUGAGAAUUAAGAAAAUUCAAGAUUUCCUGAUGGCCACAAACAGCAUUGACCUUGAGAAAUUCAGCAUCAUGCAAGGCUACAAAGGCUCAGUGGAAUUUUUGCAGCGUCAAAUGCCUUAUUUAUCCUACAUGAAACGAAACCAAAGACUCAACAGUGUUUUUAAACUGGGUAUAAAGGCAAAAAAGAAGCAGCCUCAAAAACAUCCCCAAACUGGAACAACCAAAAAGAAUCCUUCUGUUGCUUCUGUUCCCCCUUUGAUGAAUGCCCCUGUGCUGCAGUCAACAAAACCACUGGAGCCAGUUUGUUCCGAAUCAGGCUUUGGAAGUGUCUCUAAGUCUUCCGUUACAGCCCAUGAUUUUACUGCAAGCAAAUCUCAGUCCCAGAGCCUGCCUUUACAAGCUCCUUCCACACCACACCAAGUCAAGAAUACGAUCCAUUCCAGCAUGCGUAUCCCACUUCCAUCUUUUCAUGAGGUCCAUAAUGCAUCACCAGCCAAGCCUAACAAUUCAGGCCAGUCUAUUUCCAAUGGUCCACACCAGAAGCCAAAUGUAUGCCUGUGUGGACCACCACCCAUGGAAGAGGUAUCUUGUCAGUUGGAUAGGCAACCGUCUAACAAAUCCAAAAUGACUAAAGAUGAACCUUCACAGGACCAGGAUGAUUUGAAGCAGCAAGUAGCUCACAUCCUGGCCUUGCAUCCAGAAGGCAUGUCACUUUUCCAGUUCCGUGCAGCCUAUAGUGCCACCUAUCAGCAGCACUUCCCAAUGGACAACACUGCUUCUGUCAAACAACGUUUGCAGGAAAUGCCGGAUGUUGUUAGUAUGAAAAGCUAUGGAGUCCAAACAAGGCUGCUAUCUGUAUCCCGUGCAAUGCCAUCUUUAAAAUCUGGUCAGCCUGUCUCUGCCACAAUGGAAAAAGCUUCAGUUGUCCCUGGUCUCUCACAGCCCAGAACAGUGUCACUGACUCAAGAGAAUUCUGAAGAACUUGGAGGAGAUGACAGCAAGGAGGAUUACCCAGUCCUUGAUUCUUUGCUCCACCAAGUAGUUAAACCAAGAGGUUGUGUGCAAGAGAAUGUGAAGAAGAAGCCCAGGCCAAUGGGAGCUCCGGUCAUUCCUCAGCCCCCUGUAGUCUGUCAUACAUAUGCCCAAGUCACAGCUUCACGUAAACCUUUGAAACCAAAUAGUCUUCAUAUGAAGCCCACACAACUUAAUAGCCCUUGUAUUUCUGCCAACAAUGCCUCAGUGCCUUCCACCUCUCAUUCUGCCUCUUACAACUCUGGAACAUGGGCGCAGCCGGUGAGCUAUCCAUUUGUGCCGUUGGUUUCCCAGAUGCCAGAGAUUUCCCCUGUCAAGCCCGCCUAUAUCAAAGUUUCUAGAUAUCCUUCCGGGAUCCAGUUUAAGAACCCUACAGUUCAGAGCUCUCCUUUUGCUCAGCCACCCCAUGUGCUCCCAAUUAGAUAUGAUCCGACAAUGCAUCUCACCGAAAGCACAGAACAAUGGAGCAACAUUUGUACUCUCCCACAAGUGGAUGCCUAUUCUCCAGUGAAGACAUCAUCCAACACCCAGCAGCUUGCCCAAAACCCUACAUCCUCAACAAGGAGAUAUCCCAUAUCUCCAUCUUCUAGAAACAUCUCCCAGACUGUCCAGCAGCUAGAAUCUUAUAACCAUACACAGCAGGAUGGUGUGCAGCUUGGAUCAGUUGUGGUAGUAAGGAAUAAAAGCUUCAUAGUAACAUCUCUGGACACACAGCCUAAGCCUCCAGCAUCUGCUUAUCAGAGACAAUACGUUGAUUGGAAUCCUCUGGUAUCUACUACAAACAGAGCGCCGUUCAUUUCACAUGGUGCUUGCUCCACUAGUCAGCUCUUCCAGCCCUUGGAAACUUCCUCUAGUAGGAAAAGGAAUCCUAAUUCUCUGCUUUUUGAACCUCCAAUUUUUGUGGAUCAACCACAACCUGUUAGUGCAAGUGCUACCAUAACCACCUCAUCGUACUCACCACCUUCACUUGUAGAUGCUACUGUAAGCCCAUAUUCCAACCACUUAUCUGUUUGUAAUAAUUCUGCUAGUCAACCUUCAAAGCCUCGAGCUUCCAUUCAACAGCAACAAUAUACUAGCCUGAAUACCUCUGUAAUCAACUCCAGCGGGAAACAAGCAGGUUCAUUGCCUUGCCCUCAAGACCUCACUAUCAGACGAUCCCGCCAACUUUCCAUAACACCUUUAAGUGUUUGUACAGAUAAUGAGCCUCCUGUCCAAACUAAGCCUGUGGUUUCUUUUUCCAAACAUGCUGACGAUCAUCAUGUUUCUUUGCCAAAAAACCAGACAUCUUAUUCUCCCCCAAAUAGCCCUCUUAAAAAACUGGAUAGUUGUGUUAUCCUGUAA